AAACCUAAAGGCGUAAUGAAAGUAAAGGUUUUCCUCGCGAAAACCUAGGGAGGAUGGGCGGUUUUUCACCGUUAAAAGUGGCCGCUCCGCACUCCCGGGGCGUCUCGUUCUCAUCGCGAGAAGAGGCGCACCAAGAGCGUACACGCUGGGACCCGAAAGAUGGUGAACUAUGCCUGGUCAGGACGAAGUCAGGGGAAACCCUGAUGGAGGUCCGUAGCGAUUCUGACGUGCAAAUCGAUCGUCGGAACUGGGUAUAGGGGCGAAAGACUAAUCGAACCAUCUAGUAGCUGGUUCCCUCCGAAGUUUCCCUCAGGAUAGCUGGCGCUCGUCGCGUACGAGUCUCAUCCGGUAAAGCGAAUGAUUAGAGGCAUUGG
rnacentral:rRNA from 1 species